CAAAUUUUGAAAUGGUACAAACUCGUUAUAGUGCAAAACGAGAAUAAAGCAAGGUGUUAUAUCCGAAGAGAAUUAGUCUGCGCACAGACUGUCCCCCCCCCCCCCCGUGGCAAUCUCGUACCCAGAAUUUAGAAUUUAUUCUGUGCUGUGAUUGGUUUACCGUUUGGUUGUUUAUUUCCCCAGAGCCAAUGCCUUCUUAACCCGCGCACAGGCAUUGCUCUCGGUACGAGAUUGCCCCCAUGGUGGAAGGAGAACAGUCUGCGAUCAUUUGUCAUUAAUGCUGUACAGUGAAGUAGUCGUAUAAACAGAUAUAAU
rnacentral:lncRNA from 1 species